CUCGCUGCUAUAGGACACAUGCUCUGCUAACCAACAGAGCACAGGUAGGAGCAGAACAAGACUCCUCCAUCCCUCUACACCAAUGCAUCUGGGACUUGGGCUGGUGGGACCUGCCUCUAGGGGUGAAAGGGGAGUUCAGUCUCUGUGGCCCAUUCAGUUUGUAGCUUCC
rnacentral:sRNA from 1 species